UGAGACAAGGAGCUGGGAAGAACACGAGGUGCCACAGGGUACAAAGAGUUAAUGUGCAACCAAGUGAACCACCAGAGGAUUUGCUUGGGCCUACACAGGCACCUUCAGCCUUCCUAGUCUUUGUGCAGCAUAUGCCCGCUAAUGAUGGCAUCCUCCCUAUAAUGAAUUGACCUAGCAACCAGUAGAAAUGCUCUGUUUAAAGCAUCUUAAAGAAUCUAUUGUUGGCCUACAUUCUUUCUUUGUCAAAGCAAUGCUAAAUAGCUGGUCUACACAGCAUAGGGCGAUCCCUCAAGAUUGGAAGGGAUUGGUAUCAGCUAUUCUAGAAGCUGCUCAACAAUUACAAUGGUUAUCAUGGAGACGUGAAGCCACAAAACUAGCACAAUAUAAUUUAGCAAGGGGGAUAAAUGUUACUAAAGACCAGCUGCUUGGUGAAGAGUGUUAUGUGGACUUACAAGAAUAAAUCAGAUCUGAGGAUGGUGUAAUUG
rnacentral:lncRNA from 1 species